rnacentral:rRNA from 1 species
GAUGAACGCUGGCGGCGUGCCUAAUACAUGCAAGUAGAACGCUGAAGCUUGGUGCUUGCACCGAGCGGAUGAGUUGCGCACGGGUGAGUAACGCGUAGGUAACCUGCCUCUUAGCGGGGGAUAACUAUUGGAAACGAUAGCUAAUACCGCAUAAAAGUCGAUAUCGCAUGAUAUUGAUUUGAAAGGUGCAAAUGCAUCACUAAGAGAUGGACCUGCGUUGUAUUAGCUAGUUGGUGAGGUAACGGCUCACCAAGGCGACGAUACAUAGCCGACCUGAGAGGGUGAUCGGCGACACUGGGACUGAGACACGGCCCAGACGCCUACGGGAGGCAGCAGUAGGGAAUCGGCGGCAAUGGGGGCGACCCUGACCGAGCAACGCCGAGUGAGUGAAGAAGGUGUUCGGAUCGUAAAGCUCUGUUGUAAGAGAAGAACGGGUGUGAGAGUGGAAAGUGCACACUGUGACGGAAACUGACCAGAAAGGGACGGCUAACUACGG